rnacentral:rRNA from 1 species
CCUACGGGUGGCAGCAGUGAGGAAUAUUGGUCAAUGGGCGCGAGCCUGAACCAGCCAAGUAGCGUGAAGGAUGACUGCCCUACGGGUUGUAAACUUCUUUUAUAAAGGAAUAAAGUGAGGCACGUGUGCCUUUUUGUAUGUACUUUAUGAAUAAGGAUCGGCUAACUCCGUGCCAGCAGCCGCGGUAAUACGGGGGAUCCGAGUGUUAUCCGGAUUUGUUGGGGUUAAAGGGAGCGUAGAUGGGUUGUUAAUUCAGUUGUGAAAGUUUUCGGCUCAACCGUAAAAUUGCAAUUGAGUCUGGCAGCCUUGAGUUCAGUUGAGGGAGGCGGGAUUUGGGGUG